GGGCGCGUGGACUAAUGGAUAAGUCAACUGGCCUCUACCCAGUUCAUCAUGCGGGUUCGACUCCUGCCGCGUCCG
rnacentral:tRNA from 1 species